UGGGGAAUAUUGGACAAUGGGCGUAAGCCUGAUCCAGCCAUGCCGCGUGAGUGAUGAAGGCCUUAGGGUUGUAAAGCUCUUUUAGCGGGGAAGAUAAUGACGGUACCCGCAGAAAAAGCCCCGGCUAACUUCGUGCCAGCAGCCGCGGUAAUACGAAGGGGGCUAGCGUUGCUCGGAAUUACUGGGCGUAAAGCGCACGUAGGCGGACUCUUAAGUCGGUGGUGAAAUCCUGGAGCUCAACUCCAGAACUGCCUUCGAUACUGGGAGUCUUGAGUUCGGGAGAGGUGAGUGGAACUGCGAGUGUAGAGGUGAAAUUCGUAGAUAUUCGCAAGAACACCAGUGGCGAAGGCGGCUCACUGGCCCGAUACUGACGCCGAGGUGCGAAAGCGUGGGGAGCAAACA
rnacentral:rRNA from 1 species